AGGUUAAGUUAGAAAGGGCGCACGGUGGAUGCCUUGGCACUAGGAGCCGAUGAAGGACGGU
rnacentral:rRNA from 1 species